AACGCACCUUGCGCCCUUUGGCUAUUCCGAAGGGCAUGCCUGUUUGAGUAUCAUGAACACCUCAACUCUCAUGGUUUGCCAUGAUGAGCUUGGACUUUGGAGGUCUUGCCGGCCUGCGGUCGGCUCCUCUCAAAUGGAUCAGCUUGCCAGUGUUUGGUGACAUCAUGGGUGUGAUAACUAUCUACGCCUGUGGUUUUCCACCGGAUAACCUUCAGUGAUGGAGGUACACUGGAGCUCAUAAAUGUCUCUCCUCAGUGAAGACAGCUUUUUGAACGUUUGAUCUCAAAUCAGGUAGGACUACCCGCUGAACUUAA
rnacentral:misc_RNA from 1 species